CAGAAAGUGACACACUGGUUUCAUACUUGCCAAAGUCUGACCCAGACUGCAGUCAGGGGCAAACCACUGCAUACACACAGCCCCAAGAUAAGCCAAAGGCACGCACGGGGUCACCACGUCCCUAUAUUAAAGCGCUUACUGUCAGCUGUGACCCCCAAGCAGAAGCACAGGCGUCCCUAAUUUGUGCAAGGCUGAGUCUGCAGAAACCCCGGGGCCUCCGGGAACAUGGAAAUCAGGUCUCAUUCAUCUCCCUUAGCUCCAUCAUCCGCAAAGGACGCUUGCCAUCUUGGAGGCUUGCCAUCUUGGGGGAUACUUAACAAGUCCCAGCUGGAUGAACGAGAAGGCGGUGCCUCCUAAGUUCUGCUACUUCCUCCCCUGCACCUCAUCUUGAGCAGCUGGUUGGGAAGACACCCUUUCUUCGUCAUUUACAUUUCAAAGUCUUUGGAUCAUCAGGAAUGUAUCUGAAGCCUAUCACCGUAACUAGCAAGAGGGAAUGCCCCAGGGUUACACCAGAUUGUGGGACCACUUCUUUUUUUUUAAUUUUUUUAAACUUUAACUUAUCAUAUUUUACGUAUGCAAGCUCUGCCUGUAUCUACAGGCCAGAAGAGAGCAUCAGAUCCUGUUAUAGACGGCUGUGAGUCACCAUGUGGGUGCUGGGAAUUGAACUCAGAACCUCUGGAAGAACAGCCAGUGCUCUUAACCUCAGAGCCAUCUCUCCAGACCCUGUGGACCACGUCUAGAAUCCGGUGGUUCUCUAUAAAGCCAGGUUCACAUCUCGCCACUGUUUGUAGACUACCAGAGAUGAACAGAAAGGCUUGGGCAUCGCCCAGUGCUGAUGCUAACACCCCCUGGGUGGAUGAGAUCUGUCUUCUACCUAACAGUAUCAAUUCAGUAACCAAAGUCAGGCUGCAUCAGAAUUUAACAGUCACCACUGUGAACUGCAAUUUGCCUUAUUCUUUCUUAAGUUUGAAACCAAAUAGUGUCCGUGGAAACGAAACUCAAGAUGGGAGAAACUUGGCUGGAUUGCGAUGUAUAUUGGUUGGGAAGACCACACUCUCCAUUCCCGACCUCUCAAAGACCUCUCCAUAACCUAAGUGAUCUUGUCUAGAAGAAAUUAAAUAAAAUUUAAAUAAUUA